AUUGAACGCUGGCGGCAUGCCUUACACAUGCAAGUCGAACGGUAACAGGUUAAGCUGACGAGUGGCGAACGGGUGAGUAAUGUAUCGGAACGUGCCCAGUCGUGGGGGAUAACUGCUCGAAAGAGCAGCUAAUACCGCAUACGACCUGAGGGUGAAAGCGGGGGACCGUAAGGCCUCGCGCCAUUGGAGCGGCCGAUAUCAGAUUAGCUAGUUGGUGAGGUAAAGGCUCACCAAGGCGACGAUCUGUAGCUGGUCUGAGAGGACGACCAGCCACACUGGGACUGAGACACGGCCCAGACUCCUACGGGAGGCAGCAGUGGGGAAUUUUGGACAAUGGACGCAAGUCUGAUCCAGCCAUGCCGCGUGCGGGAAGAAGGCCUUCGGGUUGUAAACCGCUUUUGUCAGGGAAGAAACGGGUUUUUCUAAUACAGAGACCUAAUGACGGUACCUGAAGAAUAAGCACCGGCUAACUACGUGCCAGCAGCCGCCGUAAUAC
rnacentral:rRNA from 1 species